UGGGGAAUAUUGCACAAUGGGCGGAAGCCUGAUGCAGCGACGCCGCGUGGGGGAUGAAGGCCUUCGGGUUGUAAACUCCUUUCGACAGGGACGAAGCUUUUGUGACGGUACCUGUAUAAGAAGCACCGGCUAACUACGUGCCAGCAGCCGCGGUAAUACGUAGGGUGCGAGCGUUGUCCGGAAUUACUGGGCGUAAAGAGCUCGUAGGUGGUUUGUCGCGUCGUCUGUGAAAUUCCGGGGCUUAACUCCGGGCGUGCAGGCGAUACGGGCUGACUUAAGUGCUGUAGGGGAAACUGGAAUUCCUGGUGUAGCGGUGAAAUGCGCAGAUAUAAGGAGGAACACCGAUGGCGAAGGCAGGUCUCUGGGCAGUAACUGACGCUGAGGAGCGAAAGCAUGGGUAGCGAAGAGG
rnacentral:rRNA from 1 species